rnacentral:lncRNA from 1 species
ACAAUACAAAGAGAAAGUGAGGGGGUGUGUGCAACAGCCUUCAUUUUACCAUGGCUUCGAGGUGCCACAUGAAAAUGUUUCUUCUGCUCCUUAUACUGGAGAUCGUUCUGCUCAUUACCAUGCCUUCUGGAGGCCUGGCGGGUCCGAGUGCGACACAGAGAAGCAGUAAGUACUCUGGCCUUUCAUUCUUGCAGAUCCGACCACUGAUUUAGUACAAAAUACCUCGUACUCCCUCUGUAAAUCAUAGGUAACAAAAAAUUAAAAAGGGUUCGACAAUUGAUAUAUCAAGAAAAUGAAUAGAAGUUCAAGUUACUGUUACAUGUUCGCUUUCUCAUGCACUAUUCAAAUGUUAGUAAUAUUGAUUGGAGGAUUAAACGACCGGAAAGCUCGUGGCUCCAAACGAAGAUGAUUCUCGACAAAAUUAUCCCCCACUUUUGGUAAACCCACAAAACAAUAUGUAAAAUAUAUGGCUAGUCAGACGAAAAAUUGGCAAAGUGAAAUAAUUAAAGACUAAUUAUAGCUUCCCUCUGUCUUGUGUUUCCAGAAUUUACAUCUCAUAAUUUGUUCUUGCAGAUAGUGACAACCCCAACUGCCCCCCUUGCUACAGACCUCCUUGUCGUCAUUGUUGAAAGUAUACGGGGUUUUGCCCCAUUUAAUUUUCAUUCCUCAAAAGUCACAUAUAGAGUGAGGAAGAAAUGAGACCAACAUAUAAGGGACUCUCUCUCACACACACUCCUCAUUAGAGCAUGAUAGUAGUGGCGUGCCUUCUCCGCGGCCACACCGCACCGCUCGCCUACAUCUUCGAUUCCUGGCGACUUAUUCAAACCUGUAAUAAGAAUGCUCCUUGGUGCGAUAGCAAGAAUGUUAGCCAUCUAGGAGCAUGUGCUUCAUCGUUUUCCAAUUUGCAUCCUUAAUGUCGUUUUUAUGUUUUUGUGAUGUAUAAAGACUACAUGCCUGGCAAUUUGAUACAUCAUUUCGUUGUGCAUGAAACGUUGCCCUGCAGCAAACGAUGAUCUCACAUGUGUGACCAGGCUCCUUGUAUAAAUGGGA